rnacentral:lncRNA from 1 species
UGUGUUUGCAGGGCACCAUCUGCCUUCUCUGGUGAUCCAGUGGCAAACAGAGGGAGAAAGGAGAUUGGCACUAGAAGAUCUUCCUGUGACAGCUUUCUAACUGUGACAGCCAAGUGCAUCCAGCCUGGGUCAUGGAGCACAGAGAAGCCCUGGUCAUAACUGCAUGAAGUCACUAUUUGUGGAUCACUCUGAGAUAAACAAAUGAACUCACUCU